rnacentral:misc_RNA from 1 species
GAUGAAGAACGUAGCGAAAUGCGAUAAGUGGUGUGAAUUGCAGAAUUCAGUGAAUCAUCGAAUCUUUGAACGCACAUUGCGCCCCUUGGUAUCCCGAGGGGCAUGCCUGUUCGAGCGUCAUUUCACCACUCAAGCCUGGCUUGGUGUUGGGCGACGUCCUCUUUGGGGACGCGCCUCGAAACGCUCGGCGGCGUGGCACCGGCUUUAAGCGUAGCAGAAUCUUUCGCUUUGGAAGUCGGGGCCCCGUCUGCCGGAAGACCUGCUCGCAAGGUUGACCUCGGAUCAGGCAGGGAUACCCGCUGAACUUAAGCAUAUCAAUAAGCGGAGGA